rnacentral:snRNA from 1 species
AUGCUUGCUACGGCAGCAUGUAUACUAAAAUUGGAACUACAGAGAUUAGUACGGCCCCUGCACGAGGAUGACAUGCAAAUUCAUGAAGCGUUCCAUAUUUUU